GACGAACGCUGGCGGCGUGCCUAAUACAUGCAAGUCGAACGCAUUUUCUUUCACCGUAGCUUGCUACACCGAAAGAAAAUGAGUGGCGAACGGGUGAGUAACACGUGGGUAACCUGCCCAUCAGCGGGGGAUAACACUUGGAAACAGGUGCUAAUACCGCAUAAUUCCAUUUACCGCAUGGUAGAUGGAUGAAAGGCGCUUUUGCGACACUGAUGGGUGGACCCGCGGUGCAUUAGCUAGUUGGUGGGGUAACGGCCUACCAAGGCUGCGAUGCAUAGCCGACCUGAGAGGGUGAUCGGCCACACUGGGACUGAGACACGGCCCAGACUCCUACGGGAGGCAGCAGUAGGGAAUCUUCGGCAAAGGACACAAGUCUGACCGAGCAACGCCGCGUGAGUGAAGAAGGUUUUCGGAUCGUAAAACUCUGUUGUUAGAGAAGAACAAGGAUGAGAGUGGAAAGUUCAUCCCUUGACGGUAUCUAACCAGAAAGCCACGGCUAACUACGU
rnacentral:rRNA from 1 species